UUAUAGCUUCUCUCCAGGACCCACUUGUCAGGAUGAUGGAUGAGGUGACUGGGAGGUGGGGCCAGCUGGGACUGGAGGAAUCCCCCCACUGUCUAGUAGGGCGGGGACGCAGGAACUUUCAGUCAGUCCCAAAGAUUCUGAGGAAGAGAAGACAACAUUGCAGGAUGAGCUCUUCUCCCCUUUUGUCCCCAAAACUUGGGCCAGCCACCUGGUCUGCGGUGCUUUGUUAUGGCAGUUCUAGCAAACUCAUACACCACUCCAGUAGCCCUGUGUAGAGGCCCACAUGGAGAGGAACAAAAUUGCCAGCACUAACUCAUGAGGCAUAUGAGUGAACCAACUUAAGAGCAUAUCCUCCAGCCCUGGUCAAGCCUUCAGAUGACUUCAGUCCCUCAGCCCUCAUGUGCUCCAGUUGAGGCCCCAGACAUCAUGGAGCAGAGGCUGAGUCUCUGUCGCCAGGCUGAAGUGCAGUGGCACGAUCUCAGCUCACUGCAACCUCUGCCUCCUGGGUUCAAGCGAUUCCCUGACCCAGCCUCCUGAGUAGCUGAGACCACAG
rnacentral:lncRNA from 10 species